rnacentral:lncRNA from 1 species
CUGUCUUUUCAUUUGGAGUCAAGGUGUUGAAUUUCCAACGGAGAUGAGAUCUCUAGCGAACGGCAGAGCUUAUAUUUUGUUAGAUGCUGGUAAAGUAGCUCCUCUGUUAAUGAAGAAGUGCAAGCUUUGGUAUUUGUUAUUUCUGAAAGAUCACUGGAUCCAUCACGAUGUAAAAUAAUAAAAUAAUAGACCAGAUUUUGGCUCACAAUAUCUGUGGGCACAGAGACUAAAACCCUGGCUACCUUAACCAAUAGAUUGAUUGAUGGGAUUGUAGAGAAUGAGAAGAAUUUAAUUGUUUAAUAAAAACCUUGGUAUCGAACUUUUCUUGUUUCAUAUUUCCAGGAUCUUUUGCGCCUUCGAACUACAUCCGAGCACCUCAUGGCAGGAGAUUGCUCUGUUUACGUUUCAAACAACCCACGAAGCAGAUGUAAGACUCAAAAACAAAUGUAGACACUCUUCCAAGCCCAAGAAUAGGAAAUAGUACAAAUCAGUUCAAGCUAUAGUGGUGGAAGAACUCCACUAUUCUCAUUUGAUGAAAACACAGUGCAUUGCAUAUCUCUAUUCUACUCUGCUCCCUCAUGUCCUCUCGGUCUCCGCUCGUCAAUGUGAUUCACAACGCCGACACGUUCUUUGGCCAAAUAGCCUCAAAAUUCCCUCAUGUCCUCUCGGUCUCCGCUUGUCUCUAUCCUUUUCCAUAAGGCAUUAAAUUAGGGAUAGAAUAAUCCUCCUAUGUAAACUUGAGCUACCAAGAAAGAAAGAAAUAAACACUAUCCUCUCUCUCUCUCUCUNNNNNNNNNNNNNNNNNNNNUCUCUCUCUCUCUCUCUCUCUCUCUCUCUCUCUCUCUCUCUCUUCUCUUAUUUUAUUUUAUCUUUUCCUAGGAGGGUUGAAAACUAUAGAUAAGAGAGUUGUAUCUUUUGCGCGAAAGAAAAAUUUACCUUCUUUCCCACGAGUUCACCAUUGGAUCGUACAAUAGUGGCUUGGAGAUCUAUACAGCAGACGAAUAAGAGAAUUUGGAAUAGUUUAAGAGCUAUGCAAAGAGUUAUCCAACAGUUGACGUCGCAAAAGUAGAACAAUUAUUUUUUUAUUUUUUCGCAUGAAGGAUACAAUCCUAGCACAUGGAGAAGGAUAUAACUCAGUAGCCGGAGGGCAGCAAUAUUUUAGAUUCGUCUCGUCUUUAUUAUUAAAAUGACCAAAAAAAUCUUUUAUAACCAAAAAAAACUCUUUUUAGCCCAACAAUAACCAUUUAUAUAUUAGUUGUAUAAUCAUGAUAUGAAGAUCAAAGUGAACUAUCUUUAUAAAAAAGAAAAAGAAAAGAAAAGAGAGAGAGAACAAUGUAUCCGACCCUAUCUCGGAUAAUUACACUUUAUCUCUGCAUUACACGGCUCCUCUCUUCUGUUUCGCUAACCUAUUCAACAAUCCAGUAAGGAUAUAGUCACAUUGACAAGGAUGGUGUCUCUUGUUGAUCAGCUCCUGACUGCGACAAAUGAAAUAACGAUACUGCCUAUGACGAAUACAACUCUAGGGUCAAACUUAACAUUUUCCUUAAAACCUCAUGGAAAAACAUCAAACCACAUCAUUUCAUGGAAAGAUGCCUUCAUUGUAGGUCUCUCUUGCCAACAAAUCGGAUUGACCGACGAGUCAAAAAUGGAGCUAUUCCAUUCAAGGCCGGCCCAAUCCUUAGGCGACCGCCUCGGACGCCUAAGACCCCGGCCCAACCCUUAGGCAACCGAGGCGGUCGCCUAAGGCCCCGGCCAAAAGAAAGGCCCCGACAGGCACUAGGCAAUGUGUUCGCAGGCACUAGGCAGCAGGCUCCAAUCUCUCUUUUUAGGCCUCGCUUCUUCUCUCGCCAAAAGAGAGGAAGCAGAAGGGAGGUGGAGAUGGGGUGGUUCCCCUACUCCGAAAAGGCCACCAAAAAGACCAGAAGGAAGGAUCAAUUUGCUCCCCCCUCAGGUACUUCGAAUCACUAUCGUUGGUUUAGGGAUUUUUUUGUUCAGUCUCCAGUUGGGUUUUCUUUGGUCUUUCAUCUUAGUUCCCGAUUCGAGCUGAAAGAUUGGAUUUUUUUGGACGGAGGUAUUCAAUAUGAUGAUUUGUCCGUGUUUUCUUGAAAAAAAAAAGUUGAAUUAUUGAAUGCAAUUUUGGCUAUCGGAUCCUGGUUUGGUGUUGAAAAGGGUGUUUCUAUCCUAUUCUCUCGACAUGGUUCUCUUCGAGUAUUUCUAUAUCGGCUUAGAAGAAGGUAUUUGAUGGGGCUUGGGAGGAAAAAAUUGUUGUAAUAGUCCAAAACAAUCACCUUUGGAUUAUUUGUUGAAAGAAAUAUCCUUUUUGAAGGGAGAUAUGAUGUUCUGUUUUUAAUCAUCAUGUUUGAUGAGGCUAUUGUAUUGAUAUUGGAUAGAUGAUUUUUGGCGUAGUUUUCUUUUGGGUUUUCACUGAUGGGGCACCAUAAGUUUCUAAUAAUUUGAUUGUGGAUUAAUUUGAAAUUUUUUGAGGAACAUUAUACCCAGAUGGCCAAAUUAUUGUCGCGCAUGUCAACAAAUAAGUUUUGUUUUAUGUUUGACCGCUCACUUGAAUGAUGGGAAUUAGAGUUUAAUGUCAUGAGAGCUAAACUAAUUAUACGUAUACGGUUUCUCCAUUGUGUUUUUUUUUCAUUAGUUAUGUGUUUAUUUUGGGAGAGUACACAGUGCGUUGUUGUUAGGUGAAUGUAUUGAAAGUUUGACAGUGGAAGCUUAUAUUAUUUCUAUUCAUAGAGAGAUGUUGUUCUUGAGCUUUUUAUUUGAUGAUGUUGCUCCAAUCCUUCUUUGGGGCCUUCUGCUUUAGAACUUGUGAAACAAUGUUCUUUUUUAUCAUAUAGAGUGUGGAGAGCAUCGCAUACUUCUCUGGCAUCUAUCAAUGUUUGCGUUUCUUUUUCCUUUUCUAUUAUAUGCUUGUUGUGGAGAUGGUUUUGAUUACCAGAUAAUAGAGAAGUCAAAGCCAAAUUCCGCAUCCAAUGUGAAGAAAAAGAGUUCAUUAGAUGGAAAGAAGAAAGCUUCGGACAAUGGUUUUGACACAUUGCCGCCCAGACCUUCACAUUUCGUGAAUUGGCUACCGCAACCAAAAAUUUCAGAGCUGAUUGCCUUUUGGGGGAGGGAGGGUUUGGUCGAGUUUAUAAAGGAAGAUUGGAGAGUAUAAACCAAGUCAGUUUUGUGCUAUAUUUGCUUUAUUUAUUUGAUCAUUCCUGCAUUAGACUAUGAUAAAGUAAACUUUCAGCCUGGUCUUGAAUUACAAGGUGAUUUAGAACUUAAGAAAUAAUUAUAAGAUUUCAAAUUUGUACUUCUCACGGAUCAAUAUUACUGUCUUGGACAGAUUGUGACUAUAAAGUAUUUUGCACUUAUUAAAAUUUUCUCAAUCAUUUAGAAAAAAAAAACCUCCAUUAGCGAGUUCGUCUUAAGCCCCCAAAUGCAUUGAGCCGCCCCUGAUUUCAUUGGAGGAACUGACAAAUAAUGGUGUGGACGAGAAGCUUCCAACCGACGGUCAACUUUUUGAGGUAAAGAUUUCGGUUCAAUUUUGGUGGCAAAAGAAUUCCCUCGGCCAAAUUGCAGAAGAUGUACGCCGUCUUUAUGUGCUAAGUUUGUAAUGGCUGGGAUGAAGACCAACAAAUCUUUGCAUCAAUUUGCAGCUUAAAAAAUAAUAAUAAUAAAAUGUAAUAAGUAAAGACACUUCUACAUGCUCAAGUUUUCAUUAUCCUUGAAAACCACCACCGACAGCCCACACAUAUCACGUGCAACCAACAACCAACAGAUACCACGUGCACGUCCUUCGAUCCUCAAACAGAUGGCGAGAAUCCACCAGAUGCUUGAGCAGAUGGGAGAGGGAUUCGUCAUCAGCUUAUAACCUAAUAAGUCUUUUGGAUUCUCGUACUCGCCGUCUCAACCUUCGGAUGCUGUGCAAAUUUUUUAUUUCCGGACAACCAUGUGAAGGGUUCAUGCGCUGAACAAAUCCUUUACAUACAGGUACAUGUGCCUAAUGGUGACGACAAUUUAUAUAUCUCACAUCUAAUGACUCCAUGCUGUUCUCACCAUAUUAAUGCUUCGUCUGCUAAAUCAGCAACCACACUGAUGACCAUUAAAUAAUUUGUAGAACAUACAUCUUUCUCUGUGAAACUUUGACCAUUCACUCAUUCAUAAAUAUUUUCAGUUCAAGCUAUGGUGGUGGAAGAACUCCACUAUUCUCAUUUGAUGAAAGCACGGUGCAUUACAUGUCUCUAUUCUACUCAUGUCCUCUCGGUCUGCUCGUCAAUGUGAUUCACAAUGCCGCCUCAAAAUUCCAUAAAACUUGCGUUUUCUAGAAGGGAGAAGUAGUACGCAUGCUUUUUGUAAGCCCCCCGCCUAAUUUAUCUAGUGAAAUCGCCAUCUAGUCUGCCGGUACUUAGAUAGUGCUAGUGUGACAUAAUCACACGUGGAAGGAGCUGCCACGUUGGUAGACCUCCUCAACGGAUGGAGAGUAUAUGAGUAAAACUUGUCUGCCUGUAUCGAACAUUUUCUAACAGGAAAGAGGCCCAAUAGGGGUUGCUACACGGGUGAGAUUCUUCUCACCCUCCUCUUCCCUUUCGUCUUGACAAAAAAAAAAAAAAAACAAACAAACAAACAACAACGUCACCCACAUGGUUAGGUCGUUCUUAGAAUCUUAGGAAUUGUCUAGUUGGUAGCCGGCGGUCUCUAGCUUCAUUUAUAUCCCCAUUCCACGUGAUAUUCCCACGGAGUGGGAAUUCGUGGGACAUGACUACUUAUUUUAAUAAAAGGAUAAACUAAAUUUGCUAAGAAUAGAUGUUUUUACAAAGAUGGUUGCCUUGCCUUCCAAUCACAUGCUAAUUAUGACUACAUUCUCUCCCUAGGACAUAACUUGCACCUCUACCGUAUGGAUCAUGACAGCGGCAAUUUACCAUGUUUCGCACCCCUAAGAAAGAAGUUAUACCAUAUAUUUGUACAGCGUAUACUAAUUUUUAUGAUGUACUUACGCCAUAAUCUCAAUUAUUAUCUUUACUUGGUGGCCCAGUUCAUACGGCUUUCUUAUCUUUUUAAUCCAACCCCCGCGAUUGCUCCCCAGAAAACUUGCCUUUCAUCCUGAGAUACAGUUCCAACAAGCUGGUAACUCUCUUAAAAUAGAAAGAGACAUGUAUAACAGCUCACGAUUAAAACUGACGUGCAGCAUUAAUGCAGUCGAUUUUUUUUAACUAAUUGAGAUUUUAGACAGCAACUCCGUGCUAUAAGCUCCAUUAGAUCUUAAGGUCUAGUUUGGAAAUUGGAUGAAGUGUCUUAUUCUUGCGAUAAAUACCAAAGGCAUCAUUUAACAGCUUGGAAUCGCCGAUCCUGCAUAUAACUCAGUAGCCAAGAGAGCAGCCAUAUUUUAGAUACCAUGAAACCAGGUUAUCCUCAUGUUUCGUCUCAUCUUUAUUACUAAAAUGACCAAAAAAGCUUUUAUAACCAAAAAAACUCUUUUUAGCCCGCUCAUAUAUUACUUGUAUAAUCGGAAGAUUAAAGUCAACUAUCUUUAUAAAAUAAAAAAAGAAAGAAAGAAAGAUACGCUCUCCUAUUCAACAAUCCAGUAAGGAUAUAGUCACUUUCACAAAGAUGGCGUCUUUUGUUGAUCAACUUCUGACGUGACAAAUGGAAUAGUGACACUGCCUAUGAUGGAUACAGCUCUAGCGGUCAAACACAUUUUUCUUAAAACCUCAUGGAAAAAUAUCGAACCACAUCAUUUCAUGAAAAGAUGCCUUCAUUGUAGGUCACUCUUUUGAACAAAUCGGAUUGAUCGACGGGUCAAAAAUGGAGCUAUUCCAUUGGAGAAAUUGACAAAUAAAGGUGAGGACGAGAAGCUUCCAACGGACGGCCAAUUUUUUGAGGUAACGAUUUCGGUUCAAUUUUGAUGGCAAAGAAUUCCCUCAACCAAAUUGCAGAAGAUGCACGCCGUCUUUACAUGCUAAGUUUCUAUUGGUUGAGAUGAAGACUAACAAAUCUUUGCAUCGAUUUGCAGCUUAAAAAAUUAUAAUAUAAAAUAUAAUAGAAUAAAGACACUUCUACAUGCUCAAGUUGUCAUUAUCCUUGAAAACAACCACCAACAACCCACAGAUAUCACGUGCAGCCAACAACCUACAGCAAGACAGGGCUUCACAUGCUUUUGAAUUUUAAGUUUUUAUUUUCAGUCCAUGAUGAUUUCAUGAUUCUUUGACCACAAAAAUAUUACAGGGUAGGGAUGCAUGCUUUGAUAUUAGUUACUUAGUAGAGAUUAUGAAGGACAAAUGUUGGAAUCUAGAGUACAUCUAUUAGAGAGGAGGUAAAGAAAUAUCGGACACGAUGGGUUAAUAACUUGCAUCCUUGGUAGAGUUUGAUCAUCUGCUCUAAUUAAAUAAAUCACUAGAUCUUAUAAAUGCUGAAUUCCUUGAUGAAAUGCAUGUAAUUUGCUUUCUCUCUCUCUCUCUCUCUGGAGCAUAGAUUUGUGAAAGAACAACAUAUAGAAACCUUUUAUCAAAUCACUACCAAAAGACAAAGUUGCAUGGCAUCCAUGCGCUUAAUCUUUAGCCGUUCAUGUGCUGAAUGCAUGCUUUACAUACAGGUGCAUAAGCCUGAUGGUAACGACAGUUCAUAGAUCUCACAUCUAAUGACUCCACGUUGUUUUCACCAUUUUAAUUCUUGUGCUAUUAAUCGUCAAGGACACCGAUCACCAUUAAAUAAUUUGUAGAACAUACAUCUUUCUCUGUAAAACUUUGACCAUUCACUCAUUCAUAAAUAUUUUCAUAGUUCUCGAUCACGUCCGUCAGAUUCUAUGUAGCUCUUUUUUUUUUUGGCAGUCUUCGAGGCUUGAUGACCCCAGGGUUCAGACUCCCCUUGGAGGGGGUUUUCCAUUCAUAUAUACAAAUCAUAGACUGAACCAAGGGGUAGACUGGAUCACCAACACCGCCUACCAAGAGGAGAGAAUCCAUGAGCUUGGGUAGUCAUGUAUCUGCGAGUUUACACCAGAUUUUGGCUCACAAUAUCCGUGGGCACAGAGGCUAUGACCCUGGCUACCUUAACCAAUAGAUUAAUAGAUGGAAUUGUAGAGGAUAAGAAGAAUUUAAUUGUUUAAUAAAAACCUUGGUAUUGAACUUUUCUUGUUUCAUAUUUCUAGAAUCUUUUGCACUUGCAAACGAUACCAUAGCACCUCAUGGCAUGAGAUUGCUCCGUUCAUGUUUUUAAACAUGACAAGUAGAGAAAUCUAGACAAGCUGAAUCGCUGAGUAGAAACUAUCGAGAUUAAUAUCUACAUCUUAGCUACUUGUGUCCACAUGUGAAUGGAAGCCUGCACAAACUAAACCUCCAUGCAGAACUUCUUGUCGUUGAUAUCGGUCCCAUAGUAGAUACAAUUUUUUCUUUUUUUCCAAAUGUUCUUGAAAUACAAUAUAAUAAUGUAAUAAACUAUAAUAAAUAAAAAGUUUCAAUUGCACAUUAAAUAAUAAACUUUAAUUAUAAUCGAGCAUAUUAAUAUCAGCAGCAUUAAUAUCCGAUGCGUAUCAAGCAGCCCAUACAUUAGUAUAUUAAUAUCAAUAUCAUUACUACAGAAGGCGCCCAUACGGAGAAUGAAGAGUUAUGUGCAAGCUAAACGUCCAUUUCUAUAAGGGUAGUGUUUGAGUGGUCAUGGAUAAGGAUCAAAGUAGUGACAUAUAUAGACGGUCACAUAUUCAUCAUCAAAAAUCAACAGCUUGUAUGUAUUCAUAGUGCAUAAAAGUUUAUUCUUGUAUUAUAUAAAGCCUUGCUCUCUCUAGUAUUUAGGUAUGCUGAGUGCAUGCUGGGGAAGCAUCCGUCCUUUCAUUAGACUAUUUAGAGAUAGUCGUGAUCCAUGCGGUACCACGUACCAAGAUAAGUCCGUGGUCCACCGGCUUGUGUGAACCUACACGACUUUGACGAGCGGAAAAGCAGCGUCCAACAGCCAUAUGUCUGACACGGACGCGAGGGCCAAACUGGUCGGGUUCGAGACCAGAACCAACAUGGACCGGGUCAGGAUGCUGGACCGGACCCCAGAUGAACCGGUGCUAAGAAUAAUAUAUAUAUAUAUAUAUAUAUUCUUGUAUUAAAUAUAUUAUGGUUUCUAGCGGUGGGCGGCGAAAGGAUGGAUCCUUACGUUGAAAUGGAAGGCCUCCCCCUCCUCUAGAAACGUUGAAGUCCAAACGGUCACGUGCUGUUCUCACGCGCAAAGAAGGCAGGGAGCUUGCGUAGCUACUGGUGCAUCCUUGAAGUCCCCGAGGAAUACCAUUUCACUAGUGCUUCCUUACAUCAUUAACACCAGAGGUUCCGGUUCUAUUUAAAAGGCGCUAUCCUCCUUACCUGCCCCAGUACUUCCUUCCCACGAGAAGCAGAGACCCCAUAUUCUUCCCUCGCAGCUACCUCCAUAUCUUGGGAUCUCAAUUCUCUUAGGGAGGAAGCUGGUGAUUCCCAGUCCCUUUUUGGCUGUCAGCCAGAGCCCAGCUAUUCCUUGUUUGAAGUUCUUGAAGUUCCCAAAAAGUUUCGGCAGGGGCAGAGAGCUUUUUCUAUUCUGUUUCUGAAAAAAAGAAUCAAGGGAGUUCGAGCAACCAAAGAUAAGAUGGAAAUCGCAGGAAGCAGCAUAGUUGCAAGCUUCCACCGGAGUAGCUCGGCGUGGCGGAGCGGCAGCACCAAAGAUGUCUUCUCUCGGUCUUCAAGGGAUGAGGACGAUGAGGAAGCUCUGAAAUGGGCAGCGCUUGAGAAGCUGCCCACUUACAACAGAAUGAGAAAAGGAAUACUGACCGGGGCCACAGGUGAGCGUAUGGAGAUCGAUGUAGAGAAUCUUGGAUUUCAAGAGAGGAAGAAUCUGAUGGAGAGGCUAGUGAGAGUGGCAGAGGAGGACAAUGAAAAGUUUCUAUUGAAACUCAAGAGCCGUUUGGACCGGUAAGUUUAUUUACCUGGAUUGCUGGUUUCCUUUUAAGGUAGGACCUGCUGGUUUCUUCGAGUUUCUUGCUGAUUUUUUCACUCUUUUCAGUGUUGGAAUUGAAAAUCCAACAAUUGAGGUCCGCUUCGAGAACUUAGAGGUUCAUGCGGAAGCUUUAGUGGGAAAUAGCGGUGUUCCUACGGUCAUCAACUUCUUUGCUAACAAUAUAGAGGUAACCUACUAACUAUAGAGACAAUCAUGCAAGCUCAUAUAAAUAUAAGAUGGAUUCAUGAAUUCGACGUAGCAAAAAACUAAUAAUGGCUGACCUGAUAUACUGUUGUCUCUCCACAGGGGUUGCUGAACUCCCUUUAUAUACUUCCAAGCAGAAAGAGACCUAUGACAAUACUUAAUGACAUCAGUGGGGUCAUUAAGCCUAGCAGGUAAGAAACGAAUCGAUGAUAAAUUUAUAAUAAGAAAUAAAAUACUUGGCAGUGAAUCAGCUUUCCGUUUUGGCUUGCGUGCACUAAGUUUCUGCAUUUCAGAAUGACUUUGCUCUUAGGGCCUCCAAGUUCUGGGAAAACUACUAUGCUCCGAGCUUUAGCAGGAAAGCUUGAUACCAGCCUCAAGGUAAUUUUAUCACCUUAUCUAUUUGUGGCCUCUCACUAUGGUUUACAUGCUCAUGAUAUUUCAGGAUUACUUAAAUAUUCGUGUAUGAAACAUUAGGUUUCGGGUAGAGUGACUUACAAUGGCCAUGGGAUGGAUGAGUUUGUCCCCCAGAGAACGUCUGCUUACAUCAGUCAACAUGAUCUCCACUUAGGUGAAAUGACAGUGAGAGAGACCUUGGCUUUCUCUGCAAGAUGCCAAGGUGUUGGAACACGUUAUGGUAUGCACAAGAUAAAAAUGUCAGUCCCGAGUUCAUUUGAGGGAUAUUUCCAAUGUUUGAAUCUAAUAACUUUUGUAUCGGCCUUCUUGCAAUGAACUUCAGAAAUGUUGACAGAGCUAUCAAGAAGAGAGAAGGCAGCAAAUAUUAAGCCAGAUCCUGAUAUAGAUGUCUAUAUGAAGGUAAAUAUUCAAUCAGUAGGAUCGAAAUUAUCCCAUCUCAGACAAAAUAGACCAUUAACAGGAGCAACCAAAGAAGAAAAAGAAAGGAAGAAGGAGAUCAUUUGAAUUGCAAGAUAUCAUUCUAUUGUAGCACCCGAGUAAAUAUUCAACUGUUGAUAGCAAUUAAAUUUCUUAAAUUUCAUAUUGCAUGAACCGAAUCUGCCUCGUCACAAGCAUAUUACUUUUGUCCAUGACUCAAGAAUCCUAGUUCUAGGAUACAACACAGACCACAUUUAUACUACAGACAAGUGAAAGCACUUCUUCAUAUACACUUGCAAGUCAAAAGAAUCAAGCAUUCUAGCUGUCUUGAGGAACAUAACUGCAAUAAAAAACCAAAAACAACUUUCAAAAUAAUUAACCACUCUUCUUGAAACAGCAAAGAAUGAAGCCACAAAGAUUUCUUACUUCUUUCUAUAUACCCACCAUUUUGUCUAAUCAUAAAAGAUGAAAAGAUGCAUGGAUACCUAUUGGAAUUCUGGAAAUUUGCCUUCGAAAAAAACAACCUCCAGUUAUUAUCUCUGGCACAAACCAAAGCUUGAUUAUGUCAUCUCAGGCAAAAAGAUGCAUCCCUAAAGGCAUUCAGAUUUGGUAUAAAUAUCCGCAUGAUAACAAGCUCGUCAUUCAUUUGACAAUUCUCUAGGCUCGCUUUCUUUCAUAUUCUCACAUUGCUAUCCUUUUUUCCCUCUUUUUGUUCUUAGAAUAUGUCUAGCACAUAUAUUUUAGAAGCUUGAUUUAGUUAGAUGUUGAAUUUUCUUUUUUAAUCUUUCUUCCUUUCUCUACUUUAACAGGCUAUUUCAGUAGAAGGUCAGGAAAGUGUGGUCACAGACUACAUUCUGAAGGUAUGCCCUGAGAUCAAAAAGAUAUAAACUCUUCAGCAAGUGUAGAAAAUGCUCUCAGAAGUAGAUAACCUACAUAUUUCAAAACAGUACUCCUUAUGCCGUGCUCCAUCAAUCAUUCCUGUAACCCCAACUAUUAUGAGUGCUUCCAUCCAAGCAAGUCAACUAGGUGCUAUGGUCAAAAUACUGCAUGAAUCAAAACCACUGACCAUUUUAUAGACAUUCCUACUGAGAGCAGAGAUACUGCAAAAGGUAUCCCACAGGAUGGUAAUUGAUAAAAUGAUUACAUAGAGAAGAAAAUAUUAAAGUCCAAUUAAGGAUAAGGUACAAGUGGCAAGGUUGGAGGCAAGCGCUCGACAUAUUAGGGCAACAAAUAAGUUCAGAGAUCUCUUACCCUAAUGCACAAUAGUCAUGACUCUAUCUUCUUCUCCCUGCUUCCUCUAAAACUGCAGAUUUUAGGACUGGAUAUCUGCGCCGAUACUAUGGUCGGUGAUGCAAUGUUAAGGGGUAUCUCUGGAGGGCAAAAGAAGCGAGUCACGACAGGUCAAAUUACUGUUAAUGAGAAUCUUUGGGAUUGUACUCUCGCACUCAAAAACACUCCUUUUGUUGUAAGACUGCCAAACUUGAACAAGUCUCUUCUUGUCAAUAGGUGAAAUGCUUGUCGGUCCAGCAAGGGCACUGUUCAUGGAUGAGAUCUCUACUGGCCUGGACAGCUCCACAACUUUCCAGAUUGUCAAUUCCCUCAGGCAGUCCGUUCACAUCCUUGGAGGCACAGCACUGAUAGCUCUGCUUCAGCCAGCUCCAGAGACUUACGACCUUUUUGAUGACAUUAUUCUCCUCUCCGAAGGGCAGAUUGUGUAUCAGGGCCCACGUGAGCAUGUACUUGAAUUUUUUGAAUCCAUGGGUUUCAGAUGUCCUGAGAGGAAAGGUGUUGCCGACUUCUUGCAGGAAGUAAGUAGCUAAAAUAGUUUGAUAUGAUAUUUUGUUUAUAUUGUCUAUGUUCCAAGAAUUGUAUUGUAAUUUCAACAAUAAAUCUGAUUGCAUUAACAGGUAACAUCAAGAAAAGACCAGCAACAGUAUUGGGCAAGAAGAGAUGAACCAUACCGUUUCAUUCCUGUUAAGGAAUUUGCAGAUGCAUUUCUGUCAUUCCAUGUUGGUCGUAGGUUGGAAAUUGAACUGUCCACCCCUUUCGACAAGAGCAGAAACCAUCCAGCUGCUUUAACUACAUCAAGAUAUGGAAUUAGCAAGAGAGAAUUGCUGAAAGCUUGCAUGGCGAGAGAGUUUUUGCUGAUGAAGAGAAACUCAUUUGUCUAUAUAUUCAAACUCUUCCAGGUCAGUGACAGACCUUGCACAAUUCCUAAAUUCAUAUCAUUCUGCAUCUUACAUGCUCUGGCCUUUAACAAUUUCAGCUCUGUUUGAUUGCAACUAUUGCAAUGACGGUCUUCCUGCGCACCAAGAUGGGCCAUAGUGACACGGAGGAUGGUUUAGUUUAUAUGGGUGCACUUUUUAUCGGUAUUAUCACGCAUCUGUUCAACGGGUUUGCUGAACUUGCAAUGAGCAUUGCAAAGCUUCCCGUCUUUUACAAGCAAAGAGAUCUCCUAUUUUAUCCUGGCUGGGCAUAUGCACUACCUGCGUGGAUACUGAAGAUUCCGAUCUCAUUCUUGGAAUGUGGUCUCUAUGUCGCCAUGACUUAUUACGUCAUUGGUUUUGAUCCAAAUGUCCAAAGGUGAAAUUGGAUAGAAAAAUCUGAUCACCAUCAGUAAAUCCAGAUUGCAAAUUUGUAAUAUAUAUCUUUCAGCGUCUUGAAAUAACCAGACAAUUUUCUUUGCACAGGAUGUUUAGACAAUUUUUGAUAUUUGCACUGGUUAGCCAAAUGGCGUCUGGACUCUUCCGGCUCCUGGCUGCAUGUGGUAGAGAAAUGGUUGUUGCAAACACAUUCGGUUCCUUUGCACAGCUGGUGCUCAUAGUCCUUGGAGGCUUUGUCAUAUCAAGAAGUAAGAUGUCUUUAAGAUAAUGUGCUUCUGUACAAGGCCAAGAUUCUUGCAACAAAUUAAAAGCCAUUAUCUCAACUUUAAUUUUAUUAGUAAGACUAAUGACAAAUGCAUGACUAAAUCUUCUUUGCUUUCUUCAGAGGAUAUCAGGAAAUGGUGGAUCUGGGGUUACUGGUCUUCACCCUUGAUGUAUGCACAGAAUGCAAUAGCUGUGAACGAAUUUCUUGGGAAAAAAUGGAGAUAUGUAAGAAAUUCCCUACUGAAUAUGCAAAAGUUUGAUUCAUUGGAAUUGAUCUAAGUUAGCAUUGACUCCUCAAAACAGGUUGUUAAUGCGACUGCUAGCACAGAAACUUUGGGAGUCCAAGUUUUGGAGUCUCGAGGUCUUUUUCCCCAAGCAAAAUGGUAUUGGAUUGGUGUCGGUGCAUUGCUUGGAUAUAUUGUGGUUUUCAAUUUCUUCUUCACUGUUGCGCUUUCUUACCUUGACCGUGAGCUCCCUCCCCUCCAAAAUUAAAUGUUUCUCAGUAAUACUGGUCGCACUUCUCAGCAGGAUAAAUCAAUGAUCUAAUUGACAAAUUACAUUGAUGCAGCAAUUGGAAAAGGCCAAACAGUUAUAUCUGAAGAAGCGUUGAAAGAGAAGCAAGCUAACCGAACAGGUGAAAGUGUCGAGCUGCCAACUAGAGAAAGGAACUCCAGCCAUCCAUCUGAAGGUCAGUUUAAUAAAAAAGUUCGCAAUCUGAUUUACAGGAACACUGAUGCUUACCUACAAAUCCACAUGACUGCAGCAAGAGGCAGUGGAAGUAGGACCACGGGGAUGGAGAUCAGCACUGAGGCUAAUCAGAACAGGAGGAAGGGUAUGGUACUUCCAUUUGUUCCACUCUCACUCACAUUUGAUGAUGUCAAAUACUCCGUGGACAUGCCACAGGUAUGCUCGAGUUCAAACAUAUUAUGCAAUUUUACAAAGUAAAGGCUAGGUUACGUCAUUCACAUUAUUAUAAAUUUAUAAUCAAAGAACUGCGGACUGAUUGUUAAUUUACACUCACAGGAAAUGAAAGCUCAAGGAGUGACAGAAGAUCGAUUGGAACUGCUCAAGGGUGUAAGUGGAGCAUUCAGGCCAGGAGUUCUCACAGCACUGAUGGGUGUCAGUGGAGCAGGUAAGACAACAUUGAUGGACGUGUUGGCUGGGAGAAAAACGGGCGGAUAUAUUGAGGGAAGCAUCAAAAUAUCUGGUUAUCCAAAGAAGCAGGAAACUUUUGCACGGAUAUCAGGAUACUGUGAGCAAAAUGACAUCCACUCACCCCAUGUGACAAUAUAUGAGUCUCUUGUCUACUCUGCAUGGCUAAGGUUACCCCCUGAAGUUGAUUCUAGCAGAAGAAAGGUAGGCACUGCAAUAACUUUACACCCUACAGCUCAAAUGGUAGCAUCAUGUAGUAUGUACAAUAUGCAUCAUUCAUCAUUUCCUGGACAUUUAAACAUAUAUGUUGGGUCUUUCUUUUUCAGGAAAAAUAAAGGGUCGGUGCCAGCAUGUAAUACAACACUUUAGAAAGAAUGUUUUCUACAUAAUUUCCUCAGAUGAUAUGUAGUUUAUAUUGGAGCAUCAUGAUAUUAUUAUGCAAAUGAACAGGCAAAAGUUAGACUAGACCACAUAAUCAUGAGUUGGUAAUCUGCAAUUACCUCCUAGAAUACCAAAACCUGUUCACAAGCUCAUAACAAGUUGAUUAUACAGAUCCAGUAGGUUGAUUACACCAUCAGUUCAACAAGUUUUAUUAUAUAUCACAUUUGAGACUAAGUUUAUAAAGUUGGUUAUUCAGAUCCAGUGGGUUGAUUGCCUCAUCAGUUCAUUGUAUAUUCGAUAUAUGCAUGAAAAGAAGUAUGUACUUCUUUUCAACGUCAGCUUAUCUUCUCCAUAAGCUCAUCGGUAUCACUUUCAGAUUACAACUAUUGACCUAACCUUAUAUUUCGCAAUUCCAUUCUUUCCACUUAUUAUACUUUAUGUUAUUUGUGUCUAAGUCACACAUGUUAACAGUUUCUAUAUGAUCUAUACAAAACACUCAUCAUAAGCUUCUAUCUUAUUUAUGUCUUAAUAGCACCUGAGGUGUAAAUUCUCAUGUUUUGUGAUGUAGAGAACACAAGGAAUUUCUCUUAGUGGAUUCCAAGCAUUUUAUAUUAUGUAAUCAAGUUGCAGGCAGGCUCCCAACUUGGUAUAACCAGUUGUUCAGUUAUUGUUUGAGGAAUUUGUCACCGACCAGCCACAUGCAGCAUCUUCCUCCCAAUCCUUAUUGCACUUUAUAUCAUAAAGUGCUGAAAGAGCAUGGCAUGAAACACGAGACUAUUAAAUAAACAAUACUUAUCUAAAAAUUCUAAUUAAUCACAUAAUGCAUACAAAACACAUAUAUGCCCUGAAAAAACAAUACAAUUGCAUACAUAAGAUUUAAGGAAGGAAAAGAAAAUUUUCUUUCUUUCCUCUUCUUAUGAACAUUUUGCGUGCCUUGUUUCAUUUAUCUAUCUACACAAACAAUAGAGGCAAGGGCUAGCAUACUGGCAUACUAGUGAUUGUAGAAGCAGGAUUGCAUGGAUCACCUGACAUGGAUUGUCCAAAAACUAUUUGUGAGGAUAUCUUUAAACUCAAUGCUCAUAUUUUGCUGAUGUUCGCAUGCAUGUGACUACUUACAAAAAGCAAAACAUAUAGAGAGGGCGUGUUUUGUAAUUUCUUUUGGGGCUAAUAAUUUGGUCAUAUAGUUUUUUAUGUGUUUCAUGCUGUGUCUGCUAUACUUACACAUGCUACAUAGCAUAUGACAUAAUAUACUGAACUUUGAUAUUAAACAUCAUACUCACUCUUGACUUUGCUUUUCUCUGAUCCAUCAACUCUUGAUGCCUAUGGUCUCUUACACCAGUAACUAACAACAUUGUGGUUCUAGUAAAGCCAUAUUCAAUGCAAUUUAUGUAAGAUAUUCAUUUUUAGAUCUAUUACCUAUUUACAGAAAUAAAUCAAAUAAAUAAAUUUAUAAAAAACACAUUUCUAGGAUGACAAAUCUUCAAAAAUAAAAUAAAAUAAGUCCUCUCUAUUGUAAUUGAACCAGUCCAACUCCCUCUCCUUGAUGUUUCUAUGAUUUGUUGUACAUCCAGAAACCAUGUAAUACAUCCAUCAUGCAUUUCUAAUCGAGUAGCGUAUCUCAAAUAUUCCAUAUAUCUUAAAAGAAAUUAUCUCUGGUAUCCUAUAAAUUGUAUGCAAAUGGUAAGAUGCUAUUUGGAUGAUAGUGGUGAUGAAUGAAAAUUUUAGUGAUAGAAAAAAAAGAGUGAAGGUCGGUCCAUACAGCUAGCUCAGAAGAUUGAUUUUUAAUAUAACAAACUACAAUUACAUUUAAUCAAAUUUAACUAUAUAGCAAACUCAAAUCUAAUGUUAGUGAAUAAAGAAGAUUAGCAAAUGUACCUCUAUAGUAUUCCAAUAUUGAUGGCUAAGAAAAAAGGCCCAAGUUAUUAAAAUCUUUUCUAGCAUCUUAAGCAGGAGAAGAAUAAAUUGAUAUGGCACAUAUGCAAUGUAUUGAUUUUUUAAAGAUUAGAAGAGUUCAUAUAUCCUUAACAGUAUUUCCUACAUUGGUCUAUGCUUGUCUAUAUCAACUAAUGCCUAAAUGAAUUGGUUUACUUCUAGUCUGUUUAGCCAAUAAUCGACAGUGGACACAAUAAAUGCAGAUGUUUAUCGAGGAGGUUAUGGAACUAGUCGAGCUCACACCGCUGAGGAAAGCAAUGGUUGGCUUGCCAGGUGUAAAUGGGCUGUCAACCGAGCAGCGCAAAAGAUUGACAAUUGCGGUUGAGCUUGUUGCAAAUCCUUCCAUAAUUUUCAUGGAUGAGCCUACAUCUGGACUAGAUGCACGAGCAGCAGCAAUUGUCAUGAGAACUGUCAGGAACACGGUAGAUACAGGAAGAACAGUUGUGUGCACAAUUCACCAACCUAGUAUUGACAUUUUUGAAGCCUUCGAUGAGGUAAGAGAUAACUGGAAAAGCAAAAUUUGCUGUUCCUCCUUAGAGAUGGAUAUGCUAAUGCACCACAAUUCCAUGACCUUUCUGUGCCAGACCAGCCAGAGGGGUUCUUUUGGCUUAUUGGUACUAUUGUUUUGAUGUCUAAUUUUACCAAAAUUGCAGCUCUUUCUUAUGAAACGAGGCGGUGAAGAGAUCUAUGUAGGCCCACUGGGGCACAACUCAUGCGAACUAAUCAAGUAUUUUGAGGUGAUGAGAAAAAUAGUAUAGAUCUGCAUGAAUUUUUCCUUUCCCUUGAUGAGAUCCCAUGUUAUAGGUGCUGAUAGCAAUUGUUUAUUUUUAAGGGAAUAAGUGGAGUCGCUAAGAUAAAAGAUGGUUAUAACCCAGCAACAUGGAUGUUGGAAGUCACUUCAAUGGCACAAGAAGAAAUUCUAGGAGUUAAUUUUGUUGAAGUAUACAAGAACUCAGAUUUAUUCAGGUAUGUUGACUACUAGCACUUUCACUGCAUCUCUGACCUCUUGUAUUAAGAAAAUUUUUGUGGUGAUUCUUGCAGGAGAAACAAAGCUCUGAUUCAAGAACUCAGUACACCUCCUCCUGGUUCAAAAGAUCUCUACUUCCCCGCACAAUAUGCACAACCAUCCCUCAUCCAGUGCAUCGCUUGCUUCUGGAAACAGUACAAGUCAUAUUGGCGCAAUCCAUCAUACAAUGCCAUACGGUUAUUCUUUACAACAGUUAUAGCCCUAAUGUUUGGGACAAUAUUCUGGAGACUUGGCUCUAAAACGUAUUAAUUCUGGAUCUUUACUUCAAUUUGAUGUAACUCUUGUCUUCAUGUCAAAUUUAUGAUUUUUUUAAUUUGGUAAUGACAAAAGCACCUCUACGUGGUCGUAAAAUUUGCAGAACCACACAGCAGGAUCUGUUCAAUGCCACGGGAUCAAUGUAUUGUGCAGUCAUGUUUAUUGGAAUACAGAAUUCUCAAACUGUCCAGCCUAUUGUGGAUGUUGAACGGACAGUAUUCUAUAGAGAGAAGGCUGCAGGAAUGUAUUCUGCUUUACCAUAUGCAUUUGCACAGGUAAAUGUAUAAGAUUUCAUGCUUCAGGACUGUCAUGUUUCAAACAAUCAAAUGAUUUUUCAGGUUAUUCUGUACUGGAUCCUCAUUAACAAUUGGGGACCAAUAUUACCAUAUUUAUGCAUUUCUUUCUUUUCUUUCAUGAAUCACUCCUCACCUUAUUCUAUUGCAUUCAGGUUGCAAUUGAAAUACCAUAUACCUUCCUUCAGACAGUGGUAUAUGGGUUACUUGUGUACAGCAUGAUAAAUUUUGAUUGGACAGCUGCCAAGUUCAUGUGGUACAUAUUCUUCAUGUUCUUCACAUUUCUUUACUUCACAUACUAUGGGAUGAUGGCAGUGGCACUGACACCCAAUUCAAACAUUGCUGCAAUAGUAUCCACUGCAUUUUAUGCAAUAUGGAAUCUCUUUGCAGGCUUCGUGAUUCCUCGUCCGGUAAGUUUAAUUUAUCAUAUAUUUUUUAUUCAAGGAUUCAAGCACUAAAUUUCAUUUAUUGACUACAGAGGAUACCUGUAUGGUGGAGAUGGUACUACUGGGCAUGCCCAAUUUCUUGGACUCUUUAUGGCCUGCUUGCCUCACAGUUCGGAGACAUGGGUGAUACCACCAUGGACACAGGUGAAACCGUGAAGCACUUCGUAAGGAGGUACUUUGGAUACGAACAUGACUUCUUGGGAGCAGUUGCUGCUGCAGUUAUUGCAUUUCCUGUGCUCUUUGCGACUGUCUUUUCAUUUGGAGUCAAGGUGUUGAAUUUCCAACGGAGAUGAGAUCUCUAGUGAACAGCAGAGCUUAUAUUUUGUUAGAUGCUGGUAAAGCAGUUUUUCUGUUAAUGAAGAAGUGUAAGUUUUGGUAUUUAUGAUUUCUGAAAGAUCACGGGAGCCAUAAUGAUGUAAAAUAAUAAAAUAAUUGCUUGUUAAUACAAUCACUCGUUUGGUGUGACCUUAUGCAUUCUCAAAGGUUGAUUUUCUCCAAUAUGACAGACACCAAGGAUGAAGUUUCUUUUUAUGUGUCACGUCCAAUUUUUUUGUACUUAUUAAUUAAGGAUAAAUCUUUUUUUGAAAGGCGAAGAAGGAGCGAGUUGCCUCCCUCCGCAACAAUUUAUUCAAAGCAUAGAGAAAAUACAGGAAGAAAGAUUACAAGUUAGGAAUCAGAGCUAAUAAGUAGAGAGCUAAGAUUGCAUGUUAUUUUAGGAUAAAUCAUGUUGUUUUGUUUCAAUUUGCCUUUGUGUUUGGACAACUCCACGGCAACAGGUACGAGCAAGAAGAUUUCAUUGAUGUGCUCUAACACAACCUAUGACCUCCUCCAAAAAACUAGCUGGUAGGUGUCAUUUGGAUUUCUUGGCCCUGUAUAAAUAUCCAAGAUCUACCCAGUGUAUAGCCGAUGUGGAACUAAAUACAUACCUGCAUGGGUUCUCACAUACUUCUUUUUUUAAGCUCCAGCUUCCUUGCCAGGCUAAAUAUCCAAAUCUAUUCAAAUCCAAUCAUAAAUGCCACAAAUCCAUUCACAAACACCACAUACAACUCAUGUGCAAUCCAAAUAAACCUAUGCUACGGUAUCUUCUAAUCCAUAUGAGCUAUGAGCUGGACCCACUCUAAUACCAUUUACAACAAUCCAAGACCUUAUCAAAAAAAACUAGUCGGAACAUAGUAUGUUAUACCAACCUGAAUCGGAUGGUACGUACCGUACCGUACUAUACCAUACCAGUUCGAUAUCGAUAUUCGAUAUGGAUGGCGUACCGACAAUCGGUACGCUAUAAAAAUUCUAUACCAUACCAUAUCGAUAAUGUGCUAGUGUGGCACCGGCACCAAGAUGACGAAUCUUGAGUCGGAAAGUAUUAUUUGGAUUUCUUGACCUUAUAUAAGCGCCCAAGAUUUAUCCAGUGCAUAUGGGAGUAAAUACGCGCUCGAGCGGGUUCUCACAUGGUACCUAGCACUUUUGUACUUAGGGAUCAGCUGAUGAAACCACUAAUCACCACAUAUCCUCAUAUCAAUCACCAAGUUUCAUAUAUACUCUAUUUAACUAGAUAAUUACCUUAUCACUAGUCCCAUUGGAUUUUCAUAACAAAAAGGAUGCCAUGACCAUGUAAUUGUUUGUUAAUAUUAUCAUGAUAAUUUCUCUCCUUCAACACUCCUUUCAUCAUCACCUAUGACACACUCUAAAGCUAAGACAUUUCACAACGAUGUCUUGAGACCAAGGCCCAGAAACUCUUACAAUUACUCCCCCUCUAAUUGAUAUAUUUUGCCACAUGAUGCAAUUUUAUUUCCUAAAUGAAGGACUUCAGCCACUUAUGUUCUCUCCUACCAAUAUUCACGGACCUUUUGAUUAAUUUGAGUAAACAUAAUCAAUCCUACCACUGAUAGAGACCUUAUCACCAAUUUCAUCCACUUUCUGUCUACCCUUAACACUGCCACAUCCUCAUCCGGCUUCCCAUUCUAGCAACCUCCUCUUGUCUAUUUCAACUAAGUAAGGUCAUUGCCUACCACUAUUUGACUACCACAGUCCAUAUUUUGCUAUCAAAAUUACGACCCGUCACCCAUCUCACCUAUCAGUAACGAUCGACAACUGUAGGCUCAAUCAGAUCGCCCCAAUAGGCACACAUGAAAACCUUGUUGAUGCCUCAUCCUCCAUUGGUUAAUGCACUGCUCAUAUAAUCUACCAUCUUCCCACUCCCACAUCUAACAUCUCGUCUUGAAGCACUGUAACACAAAUAAUUGAAAGUGUUUGAACUUUCAAGUGUUGAAAUCCGAAAGAUACAGAAAUGUAACUUCGAGAAGGCCAAUAAAAUAAUGCACGAUAAUCGUGAGACAGCAAAAAUCAAGCAAAUUUGAUGGUCCAAGCAAUGUUACACUUGCCAACUUUCGGCAAUAGUGUAAAACACUAACAUGAGAGAUUAUCAUAAUGUUUUGGUGAUGACCGUUGUUGCUGGAAACUGGACCCGGGGGCGACCGGUCCACUGGGAAGGAGGAGCUCCAGCAAGAACUGGCGGGCGGCGAUCCGUCAACGGGCGGCAUCCUCCGCAAGUGGCCUGCAAAAAGCCGGUGGCCGGGGUUUCCGGCGCCGGCCCUCCGAUGGCUAAGUCAGAGGGGGCAAGUGUAUUCAAAAGUGGGAGGGAAGAAAAAAUAUCAUCCGGACUUCGGAGUCCAAUCCCCUUUUUAGAGGGAGAUAUAGGAUUACCUGUGAUACGACGGGGCGAAAUUACCGUAUGGUUAAGCAUUUCGUCGGAAUUAAUGCACGAUCGUAUGUAUUAAUGGCUUGCCGUGUGAGAUCAGGUCGGAGCCAGGGAGUUGUCAUGACGGAUCGGACGUAGCCGAGCUGAGUUGCCGUGAAGAGCUUGAGGUCCGUAGAUAACAGGAGUCGCGUGCAUUAAUUGUUGAGUGAGCUGAGGGUUUGCAGAGACCAUGUGCAUUAAUUGUUGAGUGAGCCGAGGGUCUGCAGGGACCAUGCUCAUUAAUGGUUGAGUAAGCCAGAGGUCUGCAGAGGUCAUGCGCGUUAAUUGUUAGCGGCGGUGACAGGGUAUGGCCUCUGGUUAAGCUACAGAAGGAUGUGACCGUGGUGGGUGGGCGGCGAGGUCGGGCUUCCGAGGUCGGCGAACUCCGAGGUUGUGCGCCUGGUCGAGCGUUAGGCCGGGCGUCCAAGGUAGGGUGCUUAGACCGAAGUUGCGUGUCAGGUUGGGCGCCUUCAGUUCGGCCGCCCUCAGGUCAGACACUUAGAGGUCGGACGUUCUCAGGUCGGGCGCCGGCAGCCGGUUUACGGGCCUUGGGGCUGUUUAUUUUCCUCCAACACUACCCCCGACUUCCGAGAUCGAGCCGUUUGCGAGCUCGGGCGUGGGAAGUAGCUGCCUUAAUUGCGCUGGGGGCCAGGGGGUCUUAAAUUAUUUCGGCAUUCCGCGCGCUUCGGGGUUUCUUUAAUGAGAGGAGACGGGGCGACGUCCUGUCGUCCUUCGAGGCUGCCUCGUGUGGCGGGCUCGUAAUGGAGCUUCGGGAUCCGAUGGGACGCUGCAUGAUUCUGCAUUCGAAGCGUCUAUCCGGGUUAAGUGUGCCGUCUCGGCUUCCGAGGCCGACACGUGGCAAGAUCUGGCCAGAGGGCGGGAUUUAGUUUCGCUGAUCUGGACCGUUGGGGAGGUCUAUAUAAACUCCUUGCCUUAGCCCUAAGGUCUCGCUUGGCCGCUAUUGCUUUUUCUUUCUCACUCGUUUUCUCUCUUCUUCCUUUGUCCGACCGAGUCUCCCCGGCGGUGUGCUAAGGCGAUUUCCGGCGGCCGCCUCGUAGGUCUUUUUCCCACGUAGGCUCGGGGGUUCCCUUCUUCUCCUUCUUCUCCCCCUUAUUUCUCGUUUUCUUCUUUGCUUUCCUUCGGUUUUUUGUCUUUUCGGUCGUCCCUCUUCUUUUCUGGGAUGGGUCGUGGUCCUGGUGAGGUCGGGUCUAAACUGACCGAAGAGGAACUGGACUUGGUCCGUUCCCGGUUCUUUUUUCGGCCUGGGUUUCAUCUUGAGCCCGCAGGGUCGGAGGACCGGGUAACAAGGCCCCCUCCGAGCCGGAUCGAAGUAUACGUCGAGACACUCUGGGCCGGCCUUCGGUUCCCCCUUCACGAGUUCGUGAACGAGCUACUGGUGGAGUACCAGCUCAUCCCAGCUCAGCUCGCCCCGAACUCGUGGAGGACCAUUAUUGGGUUCAUAUCCCUUUGCCUUGCGCACGGGAUACCGACCCUGGUAGGUGUUUUCCGCCGGUGCUUUUUGUUAAAGUCAAACCCGGCGGACGGAGAGUGGCUAUACUUCGCCUUUCGAGGCGGUAUGUCCCUCUUCCGAGGUGCCCCCUCCUCUAUCCAUGACUGGAAGGAGAGAUUUUUCUUUCUUGCUUCCGUGCUCUCGUGGGGGUUUGACCCGAGAUGGGGGACUCCCCGACUGAAGGCUCUCAACCGGCUCACCGAUCUUUCGGCAGACGAGCAGAGGGCAUUUGAUGCCCUACGCGGCCUCGAGGGCGACAUCACUGUUACCGACCUCCUGAGUGAGGAGGCUUUGGUGAACGCCGGCCUAAGCUCGGCGCGCCCCGAGGGUAAGAGCGGUUGCAUUGCUUCCCUUGUUUUGCUAGUCUUUUCGCUCUUUUUCUUUCCUUAAUCAUUGAUCUUAAUACUUAGAAAGAUUAUUUCCUUUUCAGACGUUUCCAACAUGGUGACGAGCAAUACCGCGCUCUUCUCCCGCCUUAAGAGAAGGGCGGCCGAAGCUGGCGGGGCUCUUCCAGAGCCCAGGAAGAAGGCCAGGGCGGCCUCGACUUCCGCCCCUGCCGAGGCGAGGGGCUCCGGGGCCGGCCUUUCCAGAUCCGUCCGGGUUGAAGCCCCGGUUACCGAGCAGGCGAACUCGGGCUCAAAAAGGGGGGCGGGCCCGGCGUCCCCAGCGUGCCCUGUGCCUAUUUCCCAGCGGCCAAAUCGGCCAAUCGUCCGCCUGCAGCGUUCAGGCCCCCAGCCAAGCGGGGGCGACGGGGUUCCGAGCUCGUCGAGGGCUGGAGGUCGCGUCGAGGGGGAGUCCGAUGACUCGGAGUCCCCCAUUCGCGAGGGCAGCUCGGCCCUCCACGACAGCGAGGUCACGCGCGCGGUGUUUCGUCGCGCGCUUCUUCCGGCCGAUCGGGCCGAGUUCAGGUCCGUCGGCCUCACCGAGUUGGUCGACCAGACCUACUGUAAUGCUAACCGGGUAAGUUACUUCUUUCUCUAGUUUUGGUUGUGUGUCACUUCCUUGGCCUUAACUUACCGCUUCUUUCCUUUUCUGCAGCACCUCCACGAGAUUGACAACCUGGUAUUCAUAGCCUUGGAGUGCCAGAAUGAAUCUCGGCGAUUCCAGAGGCAGAUGGAGAUGUCCGAGAAGGGACUGGCCGAUUCUGAGGCAGCGCGGGCGGAGGCUGUCUCGCGGAUGAAGGCCGCCGAGGCCGAGCGACAAUCGGCGCUCAACCAACUGACUGAAGAAAAGGCUGCGCACACACUGGCGCGGUCCGAGUUGCGCGCCUCUGAGGCGCGUCUUGCCGAGGCCCGUGCCGAAGCCGCGGGCCAAAAGUAUGAGGGCGGAGUUCUCCGUCUAAAGAUCGAGCAGCUCGAAGCUCGAGAGAAAAGGGCGCUCGAGCGAGCUGAAAAGGCUGUGGAGCUCUUCAAGGAGUCGGAAAAGUUCCACGACAUGUUGGAGGAGGAGACCGUGGACGGGUUCCUCCGGGGCUUCGAGAAUUUUCGAAGGCAGAUGGCUCGGUACUGCCCCCAGCUCGAUCUUUCGGGGAUCCGUCUGAGGAUGGGGAUAGGCGCUGAGUCCGAGGACGACGUCCCUGCAAUUCUCGCAGCCGAGGAGGAGCUCGCCGAGGCCGAAGCUGAUAUGGCCGAUCAGGCGAUGUCGGAGGCUCCUCCCGGGGAGGUUGCCGAGGGCGCUCCCGAGGCUUCUAGCGAGGUACCAGCUGAGGCCGCUGCGGAGGGUUCCAAGCCAGCGCCUGCCGAAGGCUCUCAGGUUAUUACCAUAGAUGACCCUGAGGGUGACACUGGUGCAGCCGCCGCUCCCUAGACUUAGCUUUUCUUUUGUUUUUUCCCUUUGUGAGUGAGAUCGGCCUUCAAACUUGUUGUAUGGCCGGUCUCUGAUUUUGUAUUUCAGCCUUCGGGUUUUUAUUAAUGAAAGAACUUUCUUUAUGAAUUCAUGUCUACUUUUCUCUUCUCUGCUUAACGGAUAAGCCUUUAUUUUAACCAUUCGAGUUGAUUCCCUCCUGGCGGAUUCCUCUAAGUACUGGAGCUCGGCUAAACUCAUGGACUCAGGUUCGGGUUAUGUGUGCCAAACCAUCAAGCUUAGGUCCGAUGAAGAAUUUCUAGGCGUCGGGCUCAAAUCUUAGGAAGAUUCACUAAGUCUUCGAGCUCGAAUUCGGAGUUUGCCAGGCCCUCGAGCCUGGCUCCCAAAUUUCUAAGGCACCGAGCUCGAGCCUCGGACCCCAAGAGGGGUUUUGCCGGGCUUUCAGAUUCAUCUUCCGGAGUGUUCGGCCGUAGGUUCGCGGAAAGUUUUGGGAUCGGUCUCCGAGGAGACCGUGAAUCAAAGUUAAGUUGCUGCUGGGGCCUCCGCGGUAAUUGGCCCCGAGCCCAGUCGAGGUACCGACAAGUGGAAUGAAAAUAUAUGGUGGGUGCCUUGGCACUCCCGAGCUCGACCAGAGCAUCAAAGGUCGAGGUCAUCGCUACAAACGAACGUUGGCUUUUCGUGUUUGGGUUUGGCUGGGCCCUCAUUCAGAGUGGUUUGUGCGGGCUGAGAUGGAGAUCAUAAAUAAGGAGAGCAUGCGCGGGGUUGACGGGACCUCGGCCUUGGGUCGAUCCAAAAGGGCAUCCCGACCUUGGUCGGGGAAAGUCCCGAGGUUGAUCGAGAUCUCGCCAACGAUUCAUAAGCAAAUGGAUAUAAUGGAGCAGGCGCUAAGUGGGAUGUACCGCUUGUGCCUUCGAAGUCGAGCGCCCAAUGUUGAAGCAAGCCGCUUGGCUCCUCAGCCAGCUUUCAGAGGCAUUUUUUGGCCUGGGGUCCGCUUAGGGAACGCCGGCAUGCUGGGAGAUGUCGCUACCGUCGGGACUUUGCGUAGAUGUCAUUCCGCCGUCGUCGUUAGAUAUCACGGAGAACCGCGAAGGUACUACCCCAUCUUCCCGAGGUCGAGAGAGCUCGGGCUCGCUGUCGACCUAAUAAUGCUUCCCGGGGUCGAGGGAGUUUGGGACUCUACGGUCGACACACGGGGCAUCCCGACCUUAGUCGAGGAAUUGNNNNNNNNNNNNNNNNNNNNNNNNNNNNNNNNNNNNNNNNNNNNNNNNNNNNNNNNNNNNNNNNNNNNNNNNNNNNNNNNNNNNNNNNNNNNNNNNNNNNNNNNNNNNNNNNNNNNNNNNNNNNNNNNNNNNNNNNNNNNNNNNNNNNNNNNNNNNNNNNNNNNNNNNNNNNNNNNNNNNNNNNNNNNNNNNNNNNNNNNNNNNNNNNNNNNNNNNNNNNNNNNNNNNNNNNNNNNNNNNNNNNNNNNNNNNNNNNNNNNNNNNNNNNNNNNNNNNNNNNNNNNNNNNNNNNNNNNNNNNNNNNNNNNNNNNNNNNNNNNNNNNNNNNNNNNNNNNNNNNNNNNNNNNNNNNNNNNNNNNNNNNNNNNNNNNNNNNNNNNNNNNNNNNNNNNNNNNNNNNNNNNNNNNNNNNNNNNNNNNAGUUUGGGACUUUACGGUCGACACACGGGGCAUCUCGACCUCAGUCGAGGUUUUUGAGGGAGACCGGGACCGAGCUCGAUAUCGACGCGGCGGGGCGUUCCAGGCUCUGCUGGGGCAUUCGAGCUUGGUCGGGCAUUCGAGCUUAGUCGGGCAUCCGAACUUGGUCGGGCAUCCUGAGAUUCACGGACAUCACGUUGUCAGGAAGAGUAUGAAAUAAUUAAUGGAGAACCGUAAGCGAAUUAUCAUAAGUGGAGGGUGAGAGUUGUAUUCCCAUUUGUCGACGACCCCCGAAGAGUCUAUUGGUAGUACAUCCGAAGAUUCUUGGAGUUCCAGCUUUGAGGGAUGAAAGUUCCCUCAAGAGAUUCCAAUUUGUACGCUCCGGGCCGCUGGACUCGCGCGACCCGGUAAGGUCCUUCCUAAUUUGGGGCUAGCUUCCCUUGUUCAGUCGACUGAGAGGCUUCAGCUCUUCUGAGGAUAAGAUCCCCCACUUUGAAAAGCUUGAGCUUGACUUUGGAGUUGUAGUACUAGGCCGUUUUCUGCUGGUAUCUCGCCAUGCGGACUCGGACGACUUUCCUUGUCUCUUCGACGAGGUCCAAGUUGUUCCUGAGCCGAGAAGAGUUGGAGUCGGCAUCGUAAUGCUCCACUCUCAGGGACGGGAGACCGACUUCCAGAGGAAUAACGGCUUCCGUCCCGUAUGCCAGGUUGAAAGGGGUUUCGCCUGUGGGUAGUCGGAACGUAGUCCGGUAGGCCCAGAGAACGUUGUACAAGUCCUCGACCCACUGUCCUUUGGACCGAUCGAGCCGACCUUGAGCCUCUGCAAAAUGGUGCGAUUUGUUACCUCGAUUUCUCCAUUUGUUUGGGGAUGGGCGACCGAGGUGAAGCGGUAGUCGAUGCCGAGCUCGAAGCAAAAUUCUCUGAAGCGCAUGUUGUCAAACUGGCGACCAUUAUCAGAUAUAAGGAUGCGGAAAAGUCCAAAUCUACAUAUGAUCGACUUCCACACAAAGUCCCGCAUCUUUUGCUCGGUGAUCCGGGCCACCGGUUCAGCUUCGAUCCACUUGGUGAAGUAGUCGAUGGAGACAACCAGAAAUUUUUUCUGUCCGGUUGCCAGAAAAAACGGCCCCAGGAUGUCGAUUCCCCACUGGGCGAAUGGCCAGGGGACACCGAUCGAGGUCAGCGAGGCCGAGGGUCGGCGUUGGAUAUUGGCGUUUCGCUGGCAUCGGUCGCAUUUUCGAACGAAGUCCGUUGCGUCCUUUUGGAGUGUGGGCCAAAAGUACCCUUGGCGCAAAAUUUUAUGAGCCAGUGCUCGGCCUUUCAGAUGGUUCCCACAUAUCCCUUCAUGGACCUCUCGCAUAGCAUAGUCCGCCUCUGACGGACGGAGGCAUCUGAGGAGAGGAGAGGUGAAGGAUUUUCGGUAGAGCUUGCCUUCAUAUAAUAUAAAUCGGGAGGCUAGACGUCUAACUCGGCGAGCCUCGAGCUCAUCAUUGGGGAGGACUUCACUUUGAAGAUAAUUGACAAGCUCGUCCAUCCAAUUGGCUCGGCGUCGAUGUGCAUAGUCGGUUCAGGCUCUUCCGUGCUGGGUGUUUGGAGAUAUUCAAGCGCCGUCGCCUUUGGGAGCUCGCUCAUACGGAAGGUCGCCAACUUCGACAGUUCGUCUGCUCUCAGGUUCUCUGACCUGGGAAUAUGCUGGAUGUUGAAGGAGCCUAGGAUGGAUGUGAGGUCUCGCACUUUUCGGAGAUAUUUCUGCAUCGAUGGCUUCUUCGCUUCAAAAUCUCCCAGAACCUGGCUCACGACCAGUUGGGAGUCACUGAAGACCUUCAGGUCUUCUGCCUUCAACUCCUUCGCCAACUUGAGCCCGACAAUGAGCGCCUCAUAUUCCGCCUCAUUGUUAGAAGCCGGAAACUCAAGGCGUAGGGCCUGCUCUGCCACCACCCCAUCUGGGCUUGUAAGGAUAAGACCGGCUCCGCUACCCUCCGAGGUUGAGGAGCCGUCCACAUAUAGCAUCCAUGGUAGCCCCGGGGUCUCCUUUGUUGGCAUGAGUGGGUGCUCGGGGUCGUCCGGCAAAGUGCACUCCACGAUGAAAUCGGCGAGCGCCUGGGCUUUGAUUACCGGCCUUGGACGGUAUUCGAGGUCGAACUCCCCGAGCUCGACUGCCCAUUUGGCAAUCCUUCCGGCACGGUCCGACCUCGGCAAGAUUUGCUUUAUAGGCUGGUCAGUCAGUACGGCCACAAUGUGGGCCUAAAAGUAGGGCCGAAGUCUCCGAGCUGAAGUGAUCAAAGCGAAGAUUGUUUUCUCCAAUUUGGAAUAUCGGGUCUCAGGGCCUCUGAGAACCCGGCUGGUAUAGUAGACAGGCCUCUGGAGCUUGUCCUCUUCCCGGACCAGGACUGAGCUUACUGCGAUCGGGGAGACGGCCAAGUACAAAUAAAGGACUUCGCCUUGCUGAGGCUUGGUGAGUAGCGGAGGGGAGGCAAGAAGGCACCUAAGCUCUUCAAAGGCUUGCUGGCACUCCUCCGUCCAUAGGAAGUUCUUUGGUCGUUUAAGGAUCUUGAAGAAUGGGAGGCAGCGCUCGGCCGACCUGGAGACAAAUCUCCCCAAAGCCGCGACCCGCCCGAUAAGCCUCUGCACUUCCUUGACCGUCUUUGGAGGUACCAUCUCUUGCAGUGCUCGGAUCUUCUCGGGAUUAGCUUCGACUCCACGCUGGGUCACUACGAAGCCCAGGAAUUUGUCCGAGGUGACUCCGAACGCACAUUUUGCAGGAUUGAGCUUCAUUUGGUACUUCCUGAGCUGGGAGAAUGUUUCAUUGAGGUCGGCCACGUGGUGCUCUGUGGUUCGGCUUUUCACCAGCAUGUCAUCCAUGUAGACCUCCAUAUUUCGGCCUAUCUGAUCUUUGAAGAUUCGGCUGACCAGUCUUUAAUAUGUAGCUCCUGCAUUCUUCAGUCCGAACGGCAUCACCUUGUAACAAUAAGUACCCUUGUCGGUGAUGAAAGCCGUCUUCUCCUCAUCCUCAAGUGCCAUUCGGAUCUGAUUGUAUCCCGAAAAGGCGUCCAUGAAGGUCAGCAGCUGAUAUCCCGAGGUCGAGUCGACAAGCUAGUUGAUGCUGGGAAGGAAAAAACUAUCCUUUGGGCAGGCCUUGUUCAGGUCGGUGUAGUCUACGCACAUACGCCAUUUUCUAUUGGCUUUCUUCACGAGGACCACGUUGGUGAGCCAGUCCAGAUAGGAGACCUCCCGGAUGAAGCCGGCCUCGAGGAGUCUGUCUACUUCCUCGGCCGCCGCUUGCUGUCGUUCCGGGGCUGAGCCUCGCUUCUUUUGCCUCACGGAUCUGCAGGUUGGUUUCACCUGGAGUCGGUGAACCAUGACCUCGGGGUCGAUUUCCGGCAUGUCGGCGGGCGACCAGGCGAAGACAUCCAUGUUGGCCUGGAGGAAUUUGAUCAGGCGCUCCCUUUCGCAGGAGCUCAAGCCGGAGCCAACCUGCACGGUUAGCUCAGGAUAAUUUUCCUAUAAAGGGAUUCGGGCAAGAAGCUCACCAGGCUCUACCCGCUUCUUCCAGAGGUCGUUCCGUACGUCUAAGGUUUCAAUGGGCAACAUGCGAUCCAUUGCUUGAGUUGGUGCCUCGGCUGGUAGCUCCUGUUGGUUUGACGCCUCGACCGGUGGUUUUGCUUUGCAGGUCGCCAUGUAGCACUGCUUGGCCACCGCCUGGUCUCCAUGGGCUUCGCCUAUCCCGUAAUUGGUGGAGAACCGCACGAGCAAGUGAUAAGUUGAGACCACAGCCCGGAGGGCGUUCAGUCCCGGCCUUCCCAAAAUGGCAUUGUAGGCUGAAGGCAGGUGGACUACAAGAAAAUCCGUUCUCACGGUGCUUUCUCGAGGGGCGAGCCCAGCUAUGACAAGAAAACUGACCUCGCCCUCAACCGGGACUGAGUCCCCGGUAAAUCCAACUAGUGGGGCGUUCAUCCUCCGAAGCUGAUUUUCUGUCAGCCCCAUUUUUUGAUAGACAUUGUAGUACAAAACAUUUGCCGAACUCCCAUUAUCAACCAAGACGCGCUUUACAUCGAAUUUAUUUACAAUCAUAGAGAUGACCACAGCGUCAUCGUGAGGGGUCUUAACCCCUUCCAAGUCCUCGUCCGAGAACGAGAUGACUUCAGAAGUGCGCAGACGCUUCGAUGGAACCCCUUCUUCGGCUGGCUCUUCAGCCGAGCUCCCUCCUCCAAUGACAUUGAUGGUGCCGGCGAUGGGCCUGUUGUCAUUUGGAUUUUCGGACGGCACGGCGUUUUCCACUGGCCUCCUUUCCUCACGUCGGUUCCUCACAAACCGAUUGAGCACCCCGCGGCGGAUAAGCGCCUCGAUCUCGUCUCGGAGCUGAAAACAAUCCUCCGUAUCGUGGCCGUGGUCCCGGUGGAAGCGGCAGUACUUCCUAGGGUUGCGUGGGAUUCCUACAUCGCGCAUCGGAGGCGGGGGUCGGAAGAAGUCCCGACCCUCGAUCUCCAUUAGGAUCUCGGCCCGGGGCGCGUUGAUGGGAGUGUAAUUCUCGUACCUCCCCGGGUGCAUUCGAGGCCGUGGCGGGGAUCUUAGUCGAGGCGGGGACCUUGGUCGAAGCCGUCCCUGCUGCCGAGGCGGGUUCUUCAGCCGAGGCAGGUUCCUAUCCCGGCGGGGAGAACGGCUUCUCGGGUGGCCAUGCUCCUCACGGCGCUUCCUUUACUUCUUUGAGGCCGGCUCGAUCGCGCCCCGCCUAGAGGCAAUAGCCUCCUCGGCCUUCACAUAUUUUCGAGCUCGGACCAGCAUUUCGGUGAAGUCGGCGGAAAAGCUCUUCUCGAUGGAGAAGAGAAAUCUGUAGGAGCGAGCGCCGGUCUUCAGUGCCGACAUGGCUAUCGACUGGUCGAGCUCACGGACCUCCUAGGUCGCAGCGGUGAAGCGGUCAAGAUAUUCUCUGAAGGAUUCCCCCUCCUUUUGUUUGACGUCCCGGACGGAAUCCAAUGUCCGCCGCUAACAUCGGCUGGCAGCGAAGUUGGUGGCGAACUGCCGGCCGAGCUGCUCGAAAGAAGAUACCGAGCUCGGCUUCAGUCCAGAGAACCAAAGCCGAGCGGUUCCCCGAAGGAUAGCUGGGAAGGCCUUGCAAAGCACAGCCUCCGAGGACCCUUGCAAUGCCAUGAGGGCUCGGUAGCUCUCCAAGUGGUCAAGGGGGUCGGCAGUUCCGUUGUAGGGCUCCACUUGGGGCAUUUUGAAUCUCGGUGGGACCGGCUCACCCUCGAUUUGGCGGAAAAAGGGGAACUUGGUGGUGAACUCAAAAUCACCCUCGCGCCUUGCCUUCCUGUUAUGAAGCGCUUCAAUCUGGCGCUCCAGGUUCUCGACCUUCCUGUCGAGCUCCCCAACCUGGGGGAUUGUCACGGUAACCUGCUCCGGUUCGUGGCGGUCCGGAGCCGACUCAGCCUCCGAAGGCUGCGGCCUUCUGCCUAGGCUUCUUUCCGGCAGUUCUCUCCGGAGAGACGCUCGUUCUUCAUUAUUAGCCCUGGAGGAGACAUGAAAACUUUGGCCCUGGAGGAUCGGUCUAUUUGGAGGAAGCACCGGUUGGGCCAGGGCCUGUGGAGGUAGCAUGGGUGAGGCUUCCUCACGCCGCAGGCCUUGGACGACGGCGGCCAAAGCCUGGACCUGCUGCGCCAGGAUGCUGAACUGUUAUGGCUGGACUUGGGGAACCGGAUCAGCCGGAGGCGGCGAGUUCUGGACGGAAUGUCCAGGGCUUGGUGGAAGACGCCGGAAAACAUUGGAGGCUCCUUUACUUCUCAACUUCAUGGCCGCGACUCGGGCCCUUCCUCUAGCGCCAACUGUUGCUGAAAACUGGACCCGGGGGCGACCGGUCCGCUAGGAAGGAGGAGCUCCGGCAAGAACUGGCGGGCGGCGAUCCAUCAACGAGCGGCGUCCUCCGCAAGUGGCCUGCAAAAAGCCGGUGGCCGGGGUUUCCGGCGCCAGCCCUCCGAUGGCUAAGUCAGAGGGGGCAAGUGUAUUCAAAAGUGGGAGGGGAGAAAAAAUAUCACCUAGACUUCGGAGUCCAAUCCCCCUUUUUAUAGGGAGAUAUAGGAUUACCUGUGAUAUGAUGGGGGAAAUUACCGUAUGGUUGAGCAUGUCGUCGGAAUUAAUGCACGAUCGUAUGUAUUAAUGGCUUGCCGUGUGAGAUCAGGUCGGAGUCAGGGAGCAGUCAUGACGGAUCGGACGUAGCCGAGCUGAGUUGCCGUGAAGAGCUCGAGGUCCGUAGAUAACAGGAGUCGCGUGCAUUAAUUGUUGAGUGAGCUGAGGGUUUGCAGAGACCAUGUGCAUUAAUUGUUGAGUGAGCCGAGGGUCUGCACGGACCAUGCUCAUAAAUGGUUGAGUAAGCCAGAGGUCUGCAGAGAUCAUGCGCGUUAAUUGUUAACGGCGGUGACAGGGUAUGGCCUCUGGUUAAGCUUCAGAAGGAUGUGACUGUGGUGGGUGGGCGGCGAGGUCGGGCUUCCGAGGUCGGCGAACUCCGAGGUCGUGCGCCUGGUCAGGCGUCAGGCCGGGCGUCCGAGGUAGGGUGCUUAGACCGAAGUUGCGUGUCAGGUUGGGCGCCUUCAGUUCGGCCGCCCUCAGGUCAGACACUUAGAGGUCGGACGUUCUCAGGUCGGGCGCCGGCAGCCGGUUUACGGGCCUUGGGGCUGUUUAUUUUCCCCCAACAACCGUUAUGUUGUCUUGUCAAGGAGUGUCCAUGACUCUUGAGGAGCUUAGGGCUCGUUUGGUUCGGAGGAAAGUGUGGUCAACAGGAAAGUAAUGAGAUGCCUCUUGUUUAGUUAGAAUUUUUAAAGAAGAGAGACAAAAAAGUUGUAUUUGCAUGGAAAUAUGAUUCCCACAUUUCAUUAAAAAGUCUUUUCCAUGAAAAACAUGGAAAAGUUACUUUUCUAUGAGUCGAAAAUCACUCCAUUCUUAUUUUUUUCCAAAAAGGCCCUUCAUUAUUAAAAAGACAUUAAAGACCUAAUUUUUAUUAAGAAUAUAAUAGAAAUUAUACAUAACUUUUUCAUAAAAGUGGAUGGUCAACCAAACAUAAACACUCUGAAAAUCUGUCACUUUCUCAUGAUCAACCAAGCAUGCCAAAAGUACUUUUUCAGGCAUGCUCUUUCUAGAAAUCUGCUUCCUAAGAAUUAUAUUCCUUGGAGGAAAAAUGUUUUCCGCGAACCAAACGAGCCCUUAGAGUUUUCAGGUGUCUGACAUGCCAGAAACUAUACGCUUAGAGAGUUUCCUGGCAACCAAAGUGCAGGGACUCACGUAAAUCAAAAAUCUGAAAUCAUUCCACCAAGAAAGCAAAAUCUUUCCAGGUGCAACUGGGGACUUGAGGGAAGAAGAUGGCAUCUUGUUUCACAACUCAUUAUGCCAACUCAAUGCUAAAGUCGCUUCAACACAUUGAACUCUUGGAGUUAUUCGGCAAGACAGGGUCGAUAAAACUAUGAUAAUGGACAUGAAUCAAAAUCUAUCAAGAAAAGUGCCUCUAAGAGAACGAAAUGAUGACCCAUUAAUCAAGAGGGCGAACAGGACGAACUUUUGCAGCGCAUUUGGAAGCGUAACAUGAAACAGUCAAGAAAAACAAGAAAUUAAAGAAGAUGGAUGAAGGAAGAGAGGAUGACCUACCAGUAGAUCCCGUCGAGAUAUCUGGUUUAAAAUAUCUUGAUCUCACCAAGAAACAGCAAUGGAGAUUGAAAUAAAGCAGGUGCCUCCAAGAAUUCGAGUAAAUAGAAUUCAGAUACAUCGAUUACAUCGGUCCAGAGACGGCCAUCUGAAAUCUUCAAAACAAGGAACGAGAUCUCAAUAUCUUUCAAAUAAAUCAAAAGCAACAAUCGCAAGAAAAAGAGAGGAGAGCAAUUAAGGCGGCCGAUCAAGAAGAGAGUCGAAGCUCACCAAAGAGUUCAAAAGUCUCCAAGAUAGAGAGGAGAGGAAAGAAAACACAAAUCCUUAGGGUUCCGUCCUUCUCCUAAGCUGUGAAGGAAAAAAACAGAACAAACCCCCCACACGCCAGUUGUGUGACCGUUGCUUUCCCGUGGAGUCGAUCGAUCCGAUGUGAUCGGAGGCGGCAGCGUCCGAUGAGAUCUGGACGGUCUCCGUGGCUGACCGGGCGUGGAUGGGAUUUUUUUUAUGCUUUCUCGAAUUCUUCAGUGAAGCGACA